AUGUUGAACAAGAAAAGGAACAAUAUUAAUCCCCUGGUAAAAAUAAAAAAGCAUUUAUCCUUCAAUUCCACUAUCAAGACGUAGAAUGGAUCCUUGGGCAACUUGCGAAGAAGAAAUGUUAAAGAUUGUUUUCCCAUCUUGGCAAUUCAGCGGCUGUCAUUACACUCCACGACGCCACUAUGCACAUCACCGCAUAUAUUCAAGUGUUGUGCCACUAGAAGAUUUUUGCUCCGUCAUGGUAAUCCAACAACUGUCAUUCUACACACUUUCCACAUCUCAAACUAUGCAGAUCUUUUGACUUUGUCCUACUUUUCGGUGUUUGUCUCUAAAUCCACCUUUUUGUUGAAUCAAGAUCUUCGUGACCUCCUCAUUUUGGCUGUAUUUUUUUUCCUAGUUUGAACUCAAGUGGUUGAGUUGUGUCUUUCAACAAAU